rnacentral:lncRNA from 1 species
GGACAGUGAAAUAACCACCAUCGUGCAGAGCUGAGGGUGAAUUGAAAGUGUAGUUAGGGAGAGUAUAUGAAAUUACUGCUUUAAGGAGUUGUGUUUAAAGUGGAGGAGGGCUAUCAUGGUUUUUAGACGGUUUCAAGAAAACUAGAUUUGCAAUCUCAGUGGAAGUUUUCAAGUAGAUGGCUAUCUGUUGGUGAUGUAAAAGAGAUUCGUGUUCCGGAAUGGGUUAGGAAAGAAGGCCUCUGGUGUCCUUUCUAACUGAAAUUUUGUGAACUUCUAUACUGUGGUGUGAGGGCAAGCAUUCCUGUGGAGGGAGGGGUCUUUAGGUGCAGCUGGCCUCCUUUUCUUCCUUCUAUUAGAAGACAGACAAACUAUCCCAGGAAAUCAGCAAUGUCAACAACAACAACAAGGAACAGCUUCUGAUGGAGGAGAGGCUAACUCCGGAGAAGCUUGACAGUAUCCAGAAGCAGCUGGACAGGUUGACCCAGCCUGAGGCCAAGACUGAAGCCACAGCUGUCACCAGUGUGGAUGCCUUCCUGUGCAGACAUUUGACAUUUUAGCUGAAGAGGGUGCUAGAAUGUGUUGGCCACAGCAGCAUCAGAGGAUCCAAGGAGACAGGCACAGAAGAGGCUGCUGAAUGGGAAAGUGCAUUGUUACCACGGUGGGUGAGGGAGAGGUAGACACAAAAAUAUUCAUCUUCUAUCUGUGUAAGAGCUCAGAUAAACAAAAAGAAUCAAAGACACUUAGGAGACAGUGACCUAAGGAAGCAGAGAAGAAGAUCUGGAAGAUAGAUGCUGGCAGCAAGGAUUAAUAAAA